CAAAAUGAGGCCAGGUUUGGCACGGUGGUGUGCACCUAUAGUCCCAGCUACUUGGGAGGCUGAGACGGAUGGAUGGCUUGAAUUCAGGAGUUCUGGGCUGUAGUGUGCCAUGCCAAUGUAGUGUCUGCACAAAGUUCAGCAUCAAUAUGGUGAUCUCUCGGGAGAGAGGGACCACCAGUUGCCUAAGGAGAAGUGAACUGGCCCAGGUUGGAAAAGGAACAGAUCAAAACUCCUGUGCUGAUGAGUAGUGGUAUCUCACCUGUGAAUAGCUGCUGCACUCCAGCCUGGGCAAUAUAGUGAGAUCCUGGCUCUAUUAUACAAUUAUUAAAAAUUAAAAAACAAAACAAAAUGAGGCUAGAACUGAUGUUUGUCUUGAAGCUGCUCAAGUCCCAUGCCCCAUGCUGAGGGCACUGAUGCCUGUCCUAGGAAGGCACAAUCUCCCUUUGCUGCAAGAGCCAUGGGCAGUGGGUCCUGUUGCCCAU
rnacentral:lncRNA from 1 species